ensembl:lncRNA
CCCCUUGCUUCAUAUAAGGUAAAAGAAAAGUCUUUGCUCCCCAAGCCGACCAUGCUUCAAAAAGGACCCUCGCACCGGGAACCCCCUUCAGACGGUGGAGCGCACGGCAUCCAUGGGAACAGAGCGGGGACCCCCUCUCUGCAUCUCUACCCAUCCCGACCGACACCAAACACCCAGCACACUCCCACCCAACCAAAUCGGGCCAGGACCAGUGUGAACGAUCCUUCUUCUUCAAGACGCAGACUGAGCUUGAGUCUUUCCAGUAAUUACAUAUGGUGAGCGCAGGGGGUACCUGCAACACAAUCCCCUCAGUCGGAUAGCUCUGCAUUACAACACACUGAUAUUAUUUCAGAUGGAUUGACUUUCAUUUACCCCUUAUACAAUUACUGAACCCAGACCACCAGCUGACGCUCAAACAACAGGACGAAAUGUGAUCUUUUCCUGAAGCUGUCUGUGUGUCACAAAGGCUCAUCGAAACCGGUGCAGUGCCUCAUUAAUGCCACAAGGGGGGCACAAGUUUGACUAGGGAGGAACUAGUAUGUGUUACGUCGUUGCCUGAGGCAUUGACGGGAUAAGCAUAUUAUAUAUAUAUAGCCUAUAUUCUGAGCUGUCGCAGUUGGGUGUAUGAGCCAAAUUUAUAAACAUAUGGUGUAAAAUAUUAACAGUUUUGCAUUAUUGUGUCCCUCAUGAAAAUAUCAACAAUGUGACGUUUUGAAGAAAUGUUUCUUUUAACAAAUCAACAAAAAUCCAGAAUAAACAAAAAUGAAUCUUGUAUUGGUUUAAUGUGUGUCAUUCUCGGUCACUAAAAAGCACGAGUGUUUAUUAUUAGGGUGUGCCCUACAGGAGCCGCGUGUCUUUCUGUAUAUGGACUGAGCACUCCCAGUUCAUCCAGUAGUUCUCAGAAGAGAGAUUAAUCUGAUGUUUGGAUGAGAUUAAGUCUGAUGUAAAUUCCCCUCAUGACACGCAGACAUUUUCAAAUCUUC